ACGCUGGCGGCAGGCCUAACACAUGCAAGUCGAGCGGUAGAGAGAAGCUUGCUUCUCUUGAGAGCGGCGGACGGGUGAGUAAUGCCUAGGAAUCUGCCUGGUAGUGGGGGAUAACGUCCGGAAACGGACGCUAAUACCGCAUACGUCCUACGGGAGAAAGCAGGGGACCUUCGGGCCUUGCGCUAUCAGAUGAGCCUAGGUCGGAUUAGCUAGUUGGUGGGGUAAUGGCUCACCAAGGCGACGAUCCGUAACUGGUCUGAGAGGAUGAUCAGUCACACUGGAACUGAGACACGGUCCAGACUCCUACGGGAGGCAGCAGUGGGGAAUAUUGGACAAUGGGCGAAAGCCUGAUCCAGCCAUGCCGCGUGUGUGAAGAAGGUCUUCGGAUUGUAAAGCACUUUAAGUUGGGAGGAAGGGCAGUUACCUAAUACGUGAUUGUUUUGACGUUACCGACAGAAUAAGCACCGGCUAACUCUGUGCCAGCAGCCGCGGUAAUACAGAGGGUGCAAGCGUUAAUCGGAAUUACUGGGCGUAAAGCGCGCGUAGGUGGUUCGUUAAGUUGGAUGUGAAAUCCCCGGGCUCAACCUGGGAACUGCAUUCAAACUGACGAGCU
rnacentral:rRNA from 1 species